ACAGCUGUCGCUUCGUAUACAGAAAAAAUUUCUUUGUAUACGGCGGAUUUGUCGGCGUGCCCGGGGAACGAGACAACCGGGGCGUGACACCCGGGGCGUGACAAGCAUGCUACCCCGCUUCAUUUAUUUCUAGAAAUGUUAAUUAACUAGGAUUAGAACUUGAGACCUUUGGUACCAACCAUCAAGCACUUUGUCACAUGUGUGAGCAACUAUCAAUUAUGUAUAUUUGACUUUUUAAAAUUUUUAGUCUUCGAUUUUAAAAUUUUAAAAUUUUGAAAUUUUAAAUUUUAAAUUUAGAUACUAAAUUUAAAUUUUUAAUUUUCGAAUAUCAAAUUUUAAGUUUCAAAAUUUGUAGUUUUAAAUUUAAAAAUUAAAAAUUAAAAAUUAAAAAUUAAAAAUUAAAAAUUUUAGAAUUUAGAAUUUAACAUUUAAAAUUUUAAAAUUUAAAUUAUAAGUUUAAUUUUUAAAACUAUAUGAAUCAAAUUUUUAAUCUUUAAUUUUAAAAUCUUUAAUUCUAAGUAAAAAAGGAUAUAUUAAUAGUUAUAUAUUGAUUAGUGACAAUAUUUCGUAACAAGUGCCGCUAGUUUAUUACAUUUAGCGGCAUUCACUAAUUUAUGCUACUAAUUUAUCCUAUUUUGCAACAUUAAUAGUAAAUUGCUGCUAAAUAAUUAAAUAUAGUGGCAAUUAUAAAGUAAUGCUUGUAAAUUAAUAUAUUAAUUAAUAUGAUUUAACUAAAUAUUGCGGAGAAAAUUUAGUGGCAUUUAGCAAUAAGUGCUGCUACUUUUUUACAUUUAGUGUCAUUUUGUAUAAAAUGCUGUAAACUUUAGCGGCAUUCACUAAUUUAUAUUACUAAUUUUAUCCUAUUUUGCAACAUUAAUAGUAAAUUACUGCUAAAUUAAUAAAUAUAGCGGCAAUUAUCAAGUAAUGCUGCUAAAUAUAUUAAUUAUCGUGAUUUAAAUAAAUGUUACGGAGUAAAUGCCGCUAAAUUAUGAAUUUGUUGUUGUGACUAUUUAUGAAACUAUGAGGUAACACAUGGCCAUAAAGGUGCUAAACCUAUUCGGUGAACUUCUCAAUUAAGUUUAUAGACCUAUGUGUGUGUUAUUUUCGGUUCUGAUAAAUAGAAUCUUGAUUUAAUCUUUGGCCACCAUUGAUUUUGUUGGAAUUUUGAGAUAAUUACACUAAUUGAGGAUUUAAUCGAAAGACACCUUAUUGUAUGCAUAAGUCUAUUUUAAAUCAGUGUUACAAUCUAGUGGGGGAUUAUUAGUAUAGAUUGUAAUAGUGGAAGUGAGAUUAGUGAAUAGUUGUAUCUCUUUAAAAGAGUAGUUAUUCUUAUGAAAAGAUUCGUCUUUUUAUUUGAUGUAAAGAUAUGUCUCUUCACGAAGAGAUAUAUUUCUUCAUGAAGAGAUAAAACUUUUGUGAAAGAAUGUCUUUUUACUAUUUUGUGAAAGGACGUGUUCUUUUGUGAAAAGAUAUAAUUUUAAAAACUAUGCCUUUUCAUCGUAUCAAUUCAUCUUUUAUAAAUAGAAGAUGUUUGAAGGCUUCAAGGGCAAUACAAUUAAUUUUUUCUUCUUCCUAAUUUUUCAUACUGAUUCUUAAGAAUGAAAUUCUUGAAGGAAAGUCUUCAAAAGUGCUAUUUGCAGUCUUUCGACGGUCUUGUUGGAUCUUGGAGGUGAUUUGCUAAUAAUCUGACAGCAUACAUUCGAGUGGGGGCAAAUAUCACCUUAAAAAAAGUGAACUUACAUGCCUCAAGACCAUAAUUUACUUGAUCUCCAUUCAUAUCCUCCAACACUUCCUGCUUGGCUUAGUCUAGUUGCAUCAACUUUCAAUGUGCUGCAAAUCUAUAAUCUGAGUAAGAGGUUUGCCCUAGACGUUGCACGGAACAUAUGCUUAUUUUUAUCUAAAAUGAGAAGCAUGGCUCUAGCCUCUAUUUGAUCCUUAACGAGUAAAGGCCCGCGCUUCGCAGCGAAAAACUUACGAAGAAAAAUCGAAAUAAAUAAUUAAAUUUUAAAUUUUUAAAAUAUUUUAUUAUUCAAAAUUUAAAUUUAAAUUUAGAAUAUAAAAUGCUGAAGCUUAAAAUUUAAAAUUUAAUAUAUCAAAUUGAAAUUUCAAUAUUUAGAAUUUAAUAUUUGGAUUUUUUAAAUUCAAUUUAUAAUUAUAUAUAUAAUUCUCUCUCCCUCCCUCUCUUUCUCUCUCU
rnacentral:lncRNA from 1 species